rnacentral:lncRNA from 1 species
CUAAUCAGCCUCCAAGCCUUGCCUGGAUGGAAUGGAUCAGGGAGGGCUGGCGACCUGUUCUGUCACUGUAUUCUUUUUUUUAAGACGGAGUUUCGCUCUUGUUGCCCAAGCUGGAGUGCAGUGGCUCGAUCUCGGAUCACUGCAACCUCCACUACCCUCCUGCCUCAGCCUCCCGAGUAGCUGGGAUUACAGGUAUGCACCAUCAUGCCCCGCUAAUUUUUGUAUUUUUAGUAGAGACAGGGUUUCACCAUGUAGGCCAGGAUGGUCUUGAUCUCUUGACCUUGUGAUUCACCCACCUUGGCCUCCCAAAGUGCUGGGAUUACAGGUGUGAGCCAUCGUGCUCGGCCUCUGUCACUGUAUUCUAAAACCCAGCAGUUUCCUUUACGUGUGUGUGUGUGUGUGUGUGUGUGUGUGUGUGUGUAUAACUUCUAAAAAAAAGUUGGAUUUUUCCUUCCAUUGCAAGUUGAGGGUAGUAUAGCAUAGUGGUUAAUGGGUAUGCUUCAGAGCCAGACUUCCUGGGUUUGAAGCCUGUUCUCUUUUGUUUGUUUUAAAUUAACAAACAUAAUUCUAUUUUUUUUCUUUUGUAGAGGUGAGGGUCUCACUACAUUGUCCAGCCUAGUCUUGAACUCCUGGCCUCAAGAACCGUCUCACCUUGGACUCCUAAAACUGCUGGGAUUACAGGUAUGAGCCACCACACCCGGCCUCAAACUUAAUUCUUUUAGAGUAGUUUUAGGUUCACAGCAAAUUGAGCAGAAAGUGCAGAGAGUUCCUAUAUACCCCUUGUCUCCUCCCCUGCUAUUCCCCUCCAGAUAAUAUUUCUUACAGCUGAUGAACCCAUAUUGACAUGUCGUUAUCACUCAAAGUCCAUAGUUUACAUUAGGGUUCACUCUUGGUGUUGUAGAUUCUAUGGCUUUUGACAAAUGUAUAAUAUGUUUCCCUCGUUGUGGUAUCAUACGGAGUAUUUUCACUGCCCUAAAAAUCCUCUGUGCUCUGCCUAUUCAUCCAUCCCUCCCCCCGGAAACCACUGAUCUUUUUACUGUCUCCAUAGUUUUGCCUUUUCCACAAUAUCAUACAAUUGGAAUCAUACAGUAUGUAGCCUUUUCGGAUCAGCUUCUUUCACUUAGUAAAAUGCAUAUAAGUUAUCUUUAUGUGUUUUCAUGGCUUGAUAACUCAUUUCUUUCUAGAACUAAAUGAGAUUCCAUUGUCCGAAUAUACCACAGUGAUUUGUUCAUUCACCCACUGAAGGAUAUCUUGGUUGCUUCUAAGUUUUGGCAAUUAUGAAUAAAGCUGCUAUGAACAUCUGUGCAGGUUUUUGUGCGGACAUAAAUUUGCAAUUCAUCUGGAUGAAUAACAAGAAGCGUGAUUGCUGGAUCAUAGGGUAAGAGUAGGUUUAGUUUUGUAAGAAACUGCCAGGCUGUCUUCCAAAGUAGCUGCACCAUUUUGGUUUCCCACCAGCAAUAAAUAAAAGCCACGGUUGCUCCAUGUCCUCCAGCGCGCUUGAUGUUGUCAGUGUUUGGGGUUUUUGGAGCCUGUUUUUGCUACUUCUUAGCUUUUGAUGACUUGAGGCAAGUCAUUAAACCUCUCUGCCUUGGCUUCUUAGUUUGUGAAGCACAAAACAGUAGGACCUCCAUGACUGGGUUGAUGUGAGGGUUAAAUAAAGAGAUUCAUGGAAGGCAUGAGGAAUAGGGCUGGCGCCUGCAUGUAGACUCAAUAAACAUUAGCUAUGAUGUUUGGAUUAGGUUGGAUUUCUGUCCUAAGAAACAGCUGAGAUUCUUGAGCGCAAAACAGUGUUUAGGCUGCGGGAUGGAUUCCACGAAGCUCUUUCCUUCUUUCUUUCUUUCUUUUUUUUUGAGAUGGAGUCUCGCUCCAUUGCCCAGGCUGGAGUGCAGUGGCAUGAUCUCGGCUCACUGCAACCUCCGCCUCCCAGGUUCCAGCGAUUCUCCUGCCUCAGUCCCUGGAGUAGCUGAGACUACAGGCAUGCGCCAUCAGGCUCGGCUAAUUUUUGUAUUUUCAGUAGAGAUGGGGUUUCGCCAUGUUGGCCAGGCUGGUCUCAAACUCCUGACCUCAGGUGAUCCACCCACCUCAGCCUCCCAAAGUGCUGGGAUUACUGGAAUGAGCCACAACGCCUGGCCCACGAAGUUAUUUCUAAUAAUAACAUGCCAUCACCAUGCUGAGGGAUAUAAUCUCAUUUGAACAACACCACUAGGUGACAAGGUAGACACACAAAUUGUCUCCACUGUCAGAUGAAGAAAUAGGAGGGUGACACCUGGAGCAGGAGGCUCCCAGGACCCCUUGUCAGCACCAUGGCUGUCCUCCUGUUGCUCCGGUCUGAGCGUUUACAUAAUUUGGUCUUACCCCUGGUAAAGUUCUUCCUGUGUCCUUGGGAAAUAGGACAGGGAAGAGGGGAGAGCGGCGGGGGGAGCAGGAGGGUCUUCAGGCAGUCUCCCUCUCCGCCUGGUGCCUGAAUAGUGCUGAGAGGAUGCAGGGGUCUGCACAUUCCAGAUGAAGGAUGUGCUGUUUCCACGCCCAGCUACCCACUGCACAGACAACGCUCCAUGGCUUCCUUCAUGAGCUGUCUAUAUGGAGAAAGUUUCUAGAACAACAGCCACCAUUUGUUGAACCCCCACUACAUGCUCGGUACCCAGGAAAAUGCCCGUUUAACCCUCCUAGCCACUCUGUGAGGUAUGAAUGAUUAUUAGCCUCAUUUUCAGAUAAGGAAGCAGGUCAGAGAGGUUAAGUAGUGCCCAGGCCCAGAGUGAGUAAGUGGCAGACUUGGGAGCCUGACCUGGAAGCCACAGCCUCACAGGGACUAUGCCCAGUGGGGAAUGUCUUGGUACUGCAAGAAGAAGACUCAGAAGCUUCUGACGAAUGAGUAAGGGGGCCACUUUUUAGGAAACUGCAGAAAAAGGAAAAAAAAAAUUGUGGAGAGAUCUGCUACAUAGCCAUGUUCCUCUGGCAUCCAGAACAAAAGGAUCCCAAGCCCCAUGGAUGUCUGCCCUGGGGCUCAUGCCCUGGGGCUUACCAGGCUUGGAGCCUGGGUCACUUUCUGUUUGGAAGUGAGGCAGCCACAAGGCCCCUCUUGUUCCCUCUGGGACACCUGCCCUGAAUAUAGUGCAUUCAGAUGGACCCCGUGACCUGUCCUGAGGUUUCACGUCCACACUCAGUCUCCUGGCUCUGUGGGAGGAGCGCUAGGCCAGGCUGGGAUGAGACAGAGCUCCUGCCAUGGAAGUCUGGCACAGACUGUCCUGGAUGUCCAAGCAAUACCUAUUGCCUUGUGAUAUGGUUUGGAUCUGUGUCCCUGCCCAUAUCUCACAUGGAAUUGUAAUCGCCGAUGCUGGGGGUGGGGUCUGGUGGAAGCGAUUGUAUCAUGGGGGCAGAUUGCCCCCUUGGUGCUAUUCUCAUGAUAGUGAGUGAGUUCUAUCUAGAUCUGUUUGUUUUAAAGUGUGUGGCGCCUCCCCGCCCCCACUCCUGCCCCUGCCAUGUAAAGAUAUGCCUGCUCCCCCUUUGCCUUCCACCAUGAUCGUAAGUUUCUUGAGGCCUCCCCAG